rnacentral:lncRNA from 1 species
GCUUUUUUAUAUCUUCCAGAGAGACAUCAACCCCCAUUACUCCAAGAAUCAGCUGAUUUAUUUUUCCAUUUUGUUCUUUUGUUAGAUUGAAGACAGGCAGAGUUCCUGUAAUCACAAGGCCCAGCUCCAGAGCAUCCAGAUAGACAUUUGUCCAUUGGACCUGUUUGGCUUUCUCACCAGCUAACACCAUUGGCCUUCCCAAAACGUCCAGAUAUUCCUGGGUGUUUAUUCUUAUGGCUCCAAUGGAUGGAAUUUCAUAAUAAUAACCUUUAUUUUCACAGGCCAUCCACUGUAUAGGUCCUUUGUCAUAAUUAUGUUGACCAACAGAAAAUGUGAACACACGUACUUUUUUGUCUUCAUUAUAUUUAUGGAAUAUUUCUUGUGCUCUUUCCUCAC